CAACAUUUUCAUUCCCAAAAUUGGUUUGACAGUUCAUUGUCCCAGCAGCUGUGUCGAUGCGUCUACCUAUAUUCUUUUACCAUGGUUUGUACGAUACCCAAAGUAUUCAUGUACCAAUACUUAGUGUUUUUGGUUACUGGUUACCGUUUAUGUAUUCUUUGCUUGUUACUUUAUGUCACUUAUUUGUAGUAAUUUUAAAAGUUACAGCUGGAUGUUGUUUUUAUUAAAGAAUUUACACAAUUCAUUAAAAUGAUCGCUGGACAAAGUUUUAAGAAGUCAAAUUGGUUAGCGGUCACCUCACACCCGUUGAUAAAGCGCUUCGGUGCCGGUUCCGAAUAACCUGAGGUAACUAUUUAAAAAUUUUUUAUCUUCGUUGCCUGCUUGGCCAGAUACUUAAUUAGCUUGUGGGAACUUAUGUCGGCGGAAAUUAUAUGGCCCUUUUCUGGCACAACGGACACUGUCGCAUCAAUCUGCUGGCAAUAAUAGGAAUUUUAGAUGUCGGCACAAAUUUUUAUGACAUAUAGCCGGUUUAAAUAAGGCGACCUUCCGCGUAAACUGUUGGAAGGCCUCGCAAUGGCUUGCAAUCUGAUGGCAUCUUAAAUUGAAGGGACACAACACUUGUUACAAACGACAUUAGACAACACUAUAGCUUAAAAUUACAUCUUUGAUUUUUAUCCAUCACACGCAGCCGUAUAUACCCGUCAAUAAAACUUAAUUUUGUAUUGUUGUUAUAUGCCGACUUUUCUCAAAUGGUCGAUUUUGGCAAACGAAGUGUGUGAUCCGACUACCUGUAUUCUUUUACCAUGGUUACAGCGAUACCUAACAGUGGAACCUAAAUUCGACGCCCUGAGUCGACGAUUUUUACCGCAUAAUUUGAAAACAUGUGCCCCAUAUACACAUUUUGUGCAUUGUUUGUUACGUGCGCCAAGGAGGCGGCUUGGGGAUGUUUCCCAU